UACGGAGGGUGCGAGCGUUGUCCGGAAUCAUUGGGCGUAAAGGGCGCGUAGGUGGCCCGGUCAGCGUGCGGUGAAAGCUCGGGGCUCAACCCCGAGUCGGCCGUGCGAACUGCUGGGCUUGAGCACUGUAGAGGCAGGCGGAAUUCCGGGUGUAGCGGUGGAAUGCGUAGAGAUCCGGAGGAACACCAGAGGCGAAGGCGGCCUACUGGGUCAGUACUGACGCUGAGGCGCGAAAGCCAGGGGAGCGAACGGG
rnacentral:rRNA from 1 species